GCAUCGGUGGUUUAGUGGUAAAAUUAGCCGUUGCCAUCGGCUAGCCCCGGGUUCGGUAAGUUUACUCGUAUCCAUUCUUCGAUUGUCAGCUCUAACAUGUCUCAGAUUCCCGGCCGAUGCA
rnacentral:tRNA from 1 species